rnacentral:rRNA from 1 species
UACGGAGGGUGCGAGCGUUGUCCGGAAUCACUGGGCGUAAAGGGCGUGUAGGCGGUUUGGUAAGUGGGAUGUGAAAUGCCCCGGCUCACCCGGGGACCGGCAUCCCAAACUGCCAAGCUUGAGUAUGGGAGAGGAUGUGGGAAUUCCCGGUGUAGCGGUGGAAUGCGUAGAGAUCGGGAAGAACAUCAGUGGCGAAGGCGGCCUGCUGGGCUGUUGCUGACGCUGAGGCGCGACAGCGUGGGGAGCAAACAGG